rnacentral:lncRNA from 1 species
CCUGCCUGCUCACAGCACCUGUGCUUGGGGGGUUGGGGGGGCGGACAAGGCCGCUGCUCCCCACUCUGCUGAGUGAGGGGCGGCACAGCUCUGCCUCCCCACGGCCUGGCUUCAGGGUUUGGAAGACAAGGGCAAGCCAGGUGAACGCUCCUGCCAGGAGGAAGCUGAGCGCUGCAGGUAUCGGGCUUGGUGCUCCGCCACCUCACUUAACCCUGACGCGCAGGGCGCGGGACCAGCAGGACCCCUCGUCACACCUGACAGCCAGAGGCCAACAGCAGCAAGCGGUACCAGACAAGCAUUUUGACCCCAGCUCUGGGGUCUCCAAAGCCUUGGUUCUUAAUGGCUCUAAUCGUGAGUGGUUCCUGCUGGCUCCAACCGCGGUUCCCUGGGAAUCCCACUUGACUAACCCAGGUUGGCUCAGGCUUCAUGGAUCUGACUCCUGCCUGCCUGACUCCUCACUCACUUCGUGUACUCAGCUGCCUCCUCUCUCCCCUGGCCCCCGUUAUCUCUGGCACAUCCAUCUGCUCUCUACUUAUUCCCAUCACAAGAACCAUCCCAAUCUCUAAUUGCCUGCCGGCUUUCUCUACUAAAAUUUAAGUCCCAAAAAGACAUGGGCCAUAUGCCUAUUCUGUUUAUCAAUCCCACCCAUCACAUGUCUGGCA